rnacentral:rRNA from 1 species
GACGAACGCUGGCGGCGUGCCUAAUACAUGCAAGUAGAACGCUGAAGAGAGGAGCUUACUCUUCUUGGAUGAGUUGCGAACGGGUGAGUAACGCGUAGGUAACCUGCCUUGUAGCGGGGGAUAACUAUUGGAAACGAUAGCUAAUACCGCAUAACAAUGGAUGACACAUGUCAUUUAUUUGAAAGGGGCAAUUGCUCCACCACAAGAUGGACCUGCGUUGUAUUAGCUAGUAGGUGAGGUAAUGGCUCACCUAGGCGACGAUACAUAGCCGACCUGAGAGGGUGAUCGGCCACACUGGGACUGAGACACGGCCCAGACUCCUACGGGAGGCAGCAGUAGGGAAUCUUCGGCAAUGGGGGCAACCCUGACCGAGCAACGCCGCGUGAGUGAAGAAGGUUUUCGGAUCGUAAAGCUCUGUUGUAAGUCAAGAACGGGUGUGAGAGUGGAAAGUUCACACUGUGACGGUAGCUUACCAGAAAGGGACGGCUAACUACGUG